GUGGUUGCUUCUGCAGCACAUAUACUAAAAUUAGAAUAAUACAGAAAAGAUUCACAUGCCCCUUGUGCAAAGAUGACAUGUCAAUGUAAGAAACAUUUAGUACUUUU
ensembl:snRNA U6 U6 spliceosomal RNA